UCGUCCGGGCACCGGCACGGCCCGCUGCAGUUCUGGCCGACGGCCGGCUGCAGGGAGGACAGGGCGGUCAGCGGCGCUCGGUCGGCGCGCACGCCCUCCCCGGCCGGCCCCGAGUCCCUCCCUGGCAGCCGCCGGCCGCAGCGGGGGCUCCCGGCGCUUACCCGGCUGCAGAGGGCGAGGAGGACCACGAAGGCGACGCGGACGGGGCCCAUACUGGCGGCGGUCAUGGUUGGCACUGCGGGCGGAGCGGAGGGCGCGGUGGCGGCGAGCGGGGAGCGGCGGGGCCUGGAGCGCUGGCGGUGGUCGGAGGUAUUUCCUAUAUCUUCCUGUCUUUUCCAUGGCCAAAAAUGAUCAAGUAAAGAACAUUAAAGAAGAAAUAAAUUACUACAUAUUAAAAAAUACAUACUGUAAGAUGUUCUUUGUACAAAAAUGUGACAACUUCAAUAAGAGUAACUUGGACAACCUGAGGCAUUAAUUGAGGAUCAAUAUGAUGACUUUACAUUGAGAAUCACAUAUACCCUCUGAAUAAAUUUAAAAAAUGAAAUUUUUUAAUUUUCAUUAAAAAUUAAAUUUUUUUGAGUGAUGAAAAUACUCAAUCACAUUAUUUUCAAAUUGUUGAUAAGCAUGGAAAUUAUCAGAGAACCAGAAUAUUCAAGGUUUAUCUUUCCUGUUUUUGUCUUAAAUCACAACUAUGUGUUAAAUAAUUUGUAUGACCUAUUUCAGUGGCAGUAGGUUAAAUAAAAUUCUGUUUGUAUCUCC
rnacentral:lncRNA from 1 species